UAAUACGGAGGGUGCGAGCGUUGUCCGGAAUCACUGGGCGUAAAGGGCGCGUAGGCGGCGCGGGAAGUCAACGGUGAAAGCUUGGGGCUCAACCCCGAGUCGGCCGUCGAUACUCCCGUGCUCGAGCACUGUAGAGGCAGAUGGAAUUCCGGGUGUAGCGGUGGAAUGCGUAGAGAUCCGGAAGAACACCGGUGGCGAAGGCGGUCUGCUGGGCAGUUGCUGACGCUGAUGCGCGACAGCGUGGGGAGCAAACAGGAUUAGAUACCCUGGUAGUCCACGCCGUAAACGAUGGGCACUAGGUGCUUGGGGGAGCGACCCCCUGAGUGCCGGCGCUAACGCAUUAAGUGCCCCGCCUGGGGAGUACGGCCGCAAGGCUG
rnacentral:rRNA from 1 species